GUGUGUGGACGGAAUUCGGGACAGACAGACGGCCGGCCGGCUCCCCGGAACUGGAAGGUGAGCUCCGAGGUGGGCCUGGCCACACCUGCUCGGUUACAUUGAUUACCCACCUAGUACAACAUCUUACGGGAAAAGCAUAGUAUUUGCUAGAGGAAUAUGAACAUAACAGGAAGGUAUCAUUGGCUCUGAAUUAAAUUUGAACUUGUCCCCUGAAUAGCUACAGGUUUUGGAAGCUGAAUCAAUGUUAUCAGAUGAGUUAGAAUCCAAACCAGAGCUCCUGGUACAAUUUGUUCAGAAUACGUCCAUCCCAUUGGGACAGGGGCUUGUAGAAUCAGAAGCUAAAGAUAUUACUUGCUUGUCCCUCCUUCCCGUGACUGAAGCCUCAGAAUGCAGUCGGCUAAUGUUACCAGAUGAUACUACAAAUCAUUCUAACUCCUCCAAGGAGGUCCCUUCCUCAGCUGUUUUGAGAAGCCUUCGGGUGAAUGUGGGUCCAGACGGAGAGGAGACGAGAGCUCAGACUGUACAGAAAUCCUCGGAGUUUUUGUCCACUUCAGAGUCUUCUAGCUUGUUGCAAGAUCUACAGCCAAGUGAUAGCACUUCUUUUAUUCUUCUUAACCUAACAAGAGCAGGUCUGGGCUCUUCAGCUGAGCACUUAGUGUUUGUACAGGAUGAGGCAGAAGAUUCAGGGAAUGAUUUCCUCUCCAGUGAGAGCACAGACAGUAGCAUUCCAUGGUUCCUCCGGGUUCAAGAGUUGGCCCAUGACAGUUUGAUUGCUGCUACUCGUGCACAACUGGCAAAGAAUGCAAAAACCAGCAGCAAUGGAGAAAAUGUCCACCUUGGUUCUGGUGAUGGGCAACCAAAAGAUUCUGGGCCCCUUCCUCAAGUGGAAAAGAAGCUCAAGUGUACAGUUGAAGGCUGUGACCGGACAUUUGUAUGGCCAGCCCACUUUAAAUACCACCUCAAGACUCAUCGAAAUGACCGCUCCUUCAUCUGUCCUGCAGAAGGUUGUGGGAAGAGCUUCUAUGUGCUGCAGAGGCUGAAGGUGCACAUGAGGACCCACAAUGGAGAGAAGCCCUUUAUGUGCCAUGAGUCUGGCUGUGGUAAGCAGUUUACUACAGCUGGAAACCUGAAGAACCACCGGCGCAUCCACACAGGAGAGAAACCUUUCCUUUGUGAAGCCCAAGGAUGUGGCCGUUCCUUUGCUGAGUAUUCUAGCCUCCGAAAACAUCUGGUGGUUCACUCAGGUAUCAGAACCUCUGCCAUUCAUAGAUUUUAGGAAAAGUAGACAAAAGAAUAAAAGGGUUGUGGGGGUGAUAUAAAGACAUCUAAAAAGAAACAAACUGUUCACUAUAAAGAUAGAAAGCUUCUCAUCAUCAUGACGGAAUCAGAAAUCAAGGCCCUUAAUUCUUAUAAUCG
rnacentral:sRNA from 1 species